AUAGGUCAUUAAAUGCCAAGCAUAGGAUCUCAGACGAAAAAGGGAUUCAGGGUUAACUAGCUGAGGCCUAUCAUAUGAUGUUUGAGAGGUUUUGUGGCUUGCCUGAAUUCCUCCAUUGACCUGUGGCAGAGCUGGCACAAGAAUAUGGGUCACCUGACUCCAGCACAUGCACAUCAAUUUACGUUUACAAAAGAGUUUUUAAAAUACAAUCUCAUCUACUAACUACUACAAAACUACUGGAAAGAAACCUGACGAAAUACAAGAAAAACAAAGGCCCAGAAUUUUUCCAGGAG
rnacentral:lncRNA from 1 species